rnacentral:other from 1 species
UUCAACCUGGGGUGUACGACAACCUACUAUUUUGAACCUACAACAUAAGAUCGGGAGACUGAUUUCGCAGCUAAUGAUGUCAGGCCACAACUUAAUUCCCUUUGGGCAGUGGAAGACAAAGUUAUCUGGAAGGUCACCCACCUAGCAAUGGCUAGGGCGUCAAAAUUGUGGGACCGGCAUUUUGGGAUAUCA